rnacentral:rRNA from 1 species
GUGGAUUAGAUACCCUAGUAGUCCACACCGUAAACGUUGGGCGCUAGGUGUGGGACUCAUUCCACGAGUUCCGUGCCGCAGCUAACGCAUUAAGCGCCCCGCCUGGGGAGUACGGCCGCAAGGCUAAAACUCAAAGGAAUUGACGGGGGCCCGCACAAGCGGCGGAGCAUGCGGAUUAAUUCGAUGCAACGCGAAGAACCUUACCUAGGUUUGACAUAUACGAGAAGCCUCUAGAGAUAGAGGUCUCUUUGGACACUCGUAUACAGGUGGUGCACGGCUGUCGCCAACU